rnacentral:rRNA from 1 species
AUUGAACGCUGGCGGCGUGCCUUACACAUGCAAGUCGAACGGCAGCACGGGUGCCUGCACCUGGUGGCGAGUGGCGAACGGGUGAGUAAUACAUCGGAACAUGUCCUGUAGUGGGGGAUAGCCCGGCGAAAGCCGGAUUAAUACCGCAUACGAUCUACGGAUGAAAGCGGGGGACCUUCGGGCCUCGCGCUAUAGGGUUGGCCGAUGGCUGAUUAGCUAGUUGGUGGGGUAAAGGCCUACCAAGGCGACGAUCAGUAGCUGGUCUGAGAGGACGACCAGCCACACUGGGACUGAGACACGGCCCAGACUCCUACGGGAGGCAGCAGUGGGGAAUUUUGGACAAUGGGCGAAAGCCUGAUCCAGCAAUGCCGCGUGUGUGAAGAAGGCCUUCGGGUUGUAAAGCACUUUUGUCCGGAAAGAAAUCCUUGGCUCUAAUACAGUCGGGGGAUGACGGUACCGGAAGAAUAAGCACCGGCUAACUACGUG